GGGGAAAAAUUAAUAAUGGGGGGUUAUAAUAAAAAAAUUUUUAAGUAAGAUUAAUUAUUUUAAUGGGGGUUAAAGUAUAUUGAUAGAAAAAAUUUAAAAAUUUAUAGUGUAUUAGUAUUGAAAAAGAAAUUUGAAAUAUUUUAAAAUUAAAUUUUGAGUAAAGUAAUUUUAAUUUAAUGUAUCUUGUGUAUCAGAGUUUAUUAAAAAAUAUUUUUAGUUAAAAAAUUCUCGAAUUUAAAAGAGAUAAUUAAUUAUAAAAGUUAUUGUUGCAAAAAUAUUUUAAAUAAUUAGUUUGAAAUGAGAUGUUAAUCGUUUUUAAAUAUAUCUAGUUUUUUUAGAAAAAAAUUUAAUUUUAAAUUUAUUAAUUAAUUAAAUAAUUAUUUAUUUAAUUAUUUAAUAAUUUUUAUUUAAAUUAUAAUUUAAAUUUAAUAUAUUAGGGGAUAAGCUUUAAUUUAGAUUUAUAUAAUUGAAAUUAGUUAUUUAAUUGAAAUUAAUAUAAUUUAUAUUAUUAAUAAAUUUUAAUUUGUUAUAAAUAAUUUUAAUUAAAAUAAAAUUUAAUUUGAGAUUUAUAAAUUUAUAAAAAAAUAAAUUUUAAUAGGGGAAAAUUUAGUUAUAAUGAUAAAAUUAGUAUAUAAAUUUAAUUUAUAAUAUAAUUUAAAUGAAAAUUAUUUGAGAGGAAUUCGGCAAAAUUUUAUAUUCACUUGUUUAUCAAAAACAUGUCUUUUUGAUGUUAAUUUAAAGUCUAAUCUGCCCACUGAUAAAUAUUAAAGGGCUGCAGUAAUUUGACUGUACAAAGGUAGCAUAAUCAUUAGUCAUUUAAUUGAUGACUUGCAUGAAAGAUUGGAUGAAAUAUAUACUGUCUUUAAAAUAUAGUAUAAAAUUUAAUUUUUUAAUUAAAAAGUUAAAAUAAAUAAAAAAGACGAGAAGACCCUAUAGAGUUUUAUUAUAAAUUAAGUUGUAAUUAUUUAUAAAAUUAAUAUUUAAAUUAUUUUUUAUAAUUUUAUUGGGGUGAUAAAAAAAUUUAAUAAACUUUUUUUUAGAUUUAACAUAGAUAAGUGAUUAAUUGAUCCAUUAUUGAUGAUUAUAAGAAAAAAUUACCUUAGGGAUAACAGCGUAAUUUUUUUUUUUAGUUCAUAUAAAAAAAAGAGUUUGCGACCUCGAUGUUGGAUUAAGAUAAAAUUUAAAUGCAGAAGUUUAAAGUUUUUGAUCUGUUCGAUCAUUAAAAUCUUACAUGAUCUGAGUUCAAACCGGUGUAAGCCAGGUUGGUUUCUAUCUUUUUAUAUGUACAAUAUUUUAGUACGAAAGGAUUGAAUAUUGAAAUUAAAUUUAAUUUUUGAAUUUUAUUAAUUAAUUUAUAGGAAAAUAAAUUUAUUUAUAAAA
rnacentral:rRNA from 1 species